rnacentral:rRNA from 1 species
AACGAACGCUGGCGGCAUGCCUAACACAUGCAAGUCGAACGAUUGCCUUCGGGUGAUAGUGGCGCACGGGUGCGUAACGCGUGGGAAUCUGCCCUUAGGUUCGGAAUAACAGCUGGAAACGGCUGCUAAUACCGGAUGAUAUCGCGAGAUCAAAGAUUUAUCGCCUGAGGAUGAGCCCGCGUUGGAUUAGGUAGUUGGUGGGGUAAAGGCCUACCAAGCCGACGAUCCAUAGCUGGUCUGAGAGGAUGAUCAGCCACACUGGGACUGAGACACGGCCCAGACUCCUACGGGAGGCAGCAGUGGGGAAUAUUGGACAACGGGCGCAAGCCUGAUCCAGCAAUGCCGCGUGAGUGAUGAAGGCCCUAGGGUUGUAAAGCUCUUUUACCCGGGAAGAUAAUGACUGUACCGGGAGAAUAAGCCCCGGCUAACUCCGUG